rnacentral:rRNA from 1 species
GACGAACGCUGGCGGCGUGCUUAACACAUGCAAGUCGAACGGGCCUUGUCCCCUUUUUUUUUGGGGGUGGGGUUAGUGGCGAACGGGUGAGUAACACGUGAGUAACCUGCCCCUCACUUCUGGAUAACCGCUUGAAAGGGUGGCUAAUACGGGGUGUUCUGGCCUGCUCGCAUGGGUGGGUUUGGAAAGAUUCGACCGGUUUUGGUUGUUUUGGUGGGGGAUGGGCUCGCGGCCUGGCAGCGUGUUGGUGGGGGGAUGGCCUGCCAAGGCGUUGACGGGUAGCCGGCCUGAGAGGGUGGGCGGUCACACUGGGACUGAGACACGGCCCAGACUCCUACGGGAGGCAGCAGUGGGGAAUAGUGCACAAUGGGCGCAAGCCUGAUGCAGCGACGCCGCGUGAGGGAUGGAGGCCUUCGGGUUGUGAACCUCUUUCGCCAGUGAAGAAGGUCCUGCUCUUUGUGGUGGGGUUGACGGUAGCUGGGUUAAUGAAGCGCCGGCUAACUACGUG